UAUCAAUUUGGGCAAUCAUUUGACUGCAAUUAGGUUCUUUUCACUACACCAUUUGCAUCAAGGCGAGAGAAAGAAAUGGGGAAUGCGACUCAAAAAGAAUUGAUUUUGUUAAUUGAAACUAAUCAGGGGUUAUUUCCGGGUGAGCUAUUUCAUUUUCCAAGGAGUGGCUCCCUUUCUUAUCUGUCUUCUUUAAAUGCAAUGGCUGUCAAUACCACUGGCUCAAGGAGGAGAAAAAAAUUGGAUGCGAGAAAUAGCCGCCUCUUUGGAUUGGGCUGUUUUGGGGCUGAAGUGCACAAUUGGGCUGAUUUCACGAUUGGACCUUGAUCUUUUUAGGGUGCUUGAAUCUGAAAGUUGAGGCAUCAAGAAAAGGAUGGAGAAAGAUAUUGAUGAAGUUGGAAAGAUUGCUCAUGGUGUCAAAUCAAAGAUUGAGGCUAUAAACAGAGAUGUAUUGAUCUAUUGGGUGAAUAUUGUUUCAUUGGAUGUCAAUUUACUGUAAAAUUUUAGACAAGUAUGAAGGUUAUUUGAUCAUGAGUUGUUUUGUGCAGAACCUAUCUAAUAGACAAUAGCUAGAUGUUUGUGCAGUUUUAAUUAGAGAAAAUAGCUAGGUGUUGUGUGAAUUAGCAGAGUGUUGGGUUAAAUGUGAUAGAGUCUAUGAGUUUUUACUGUUGUGUUGAGUCUUUUCCUUUGUACUUUGAGUCUUUUCUUUUUCUUUUUAGUCUAAGUGUGGGGUGUGAUAAUUCUCCAAAUUUGCUUAUUUUUCUAUGUUAAAACUCUUUUGUUAGGUUUCUUUAGUUUUUAAUUCUUUAGAAAUAGAAUAGUUUAGUAUAAAAUUUUAGAAA